AGCAAAUAAUGUUUAUUUUUAUAUUGAUGAUACACUUAAUAUAUACGGGAAUUCAAGAUACAAAAUUUAUUUUUACAAGAGUUCACACCUGAUGAAUGUAAUCACAUUCCUAGAGAACAUUUAUCAAUGCAAAAAUGUCUUCAAUACACUGACAACAAAAAUCAAAUAUUCUGUAAUCUUGUUAUUCAAUAAACAUCAAAACAUACUCCAUCCUCUAGUAUUUAAGCGCCCUCAAGGUGGGAGGCACCAUAUAACAGAAGAAAACAUUGGAAAGACAAGGGCCUACUGAAUCUGCUCUGCAGAAUCACAGUGUUACUCUGAAAUUCGUUAAGUGAAGUAGUGAAAGGCUUGCUAUCCUUUACGACGAAUCACAUACAAGAGUCAAAAGCGAUGAUCAAGAAAAUAAAAUGUUUCAAUAACGUCUCCAUUUCUAAAAUCUAUGAAGUAUUAUCCAUAAUAGACAAAGCGGAAAAAGGCUGCUGAAGAGGAAACACAAUAGGAAAACAUCCUUAGGAUUGUGUAUGGCUUAAGCAAUUUAGAAACAGGACAGACUUUUACAAUACCACAACUGUUCAAGUCAAAUGAUAUUGACAAUAUAAUUUGUCCCCUUAGUCAUUGGUAGUAAAUAGCCCCUUCGAAAUUUUUUCUACUGAGAACACAUAUAAAACUAAUGAAUCCAAACGGUUUGUUGUCUCACAGAGCUGAGUUAAUGGAUUUUGUUUUAAAGUAUUAACUCACAAUAUCCAAAAUUUAAUACAAAUGAGCAACAAGACUACUUCUUAAGGAUUACAGUGAUUUGUGAAUAGCUAGAUAGGCAACCAAAUAGCUUCAUUAUUUGCAUGACAGAUUAGCAGCACUUGGAUAAGAACUGUUACAGGAAAAUUAUUGUGCUUCAAUCUCUUGAAGAGAGCUAAUAAAUAUAACUCUAUAAUCCUUAUAGUGUUACAAUUCUAUAACAUUUCAGUUACAGACAAGCACAAUUUUUAAAAAGUAUUUCACACCACUAGAAAAUCAAGUAAUUAUAGUCUCCAAAUGUAAAUUUCUGCUAUGAUUGAAACAAGUGCAUUUCUGCCUAAUAUCCAUAGUAUAGACAAUAGGUUCACCAUUAUUUUCAGGGAAAAAAGAUCAAAUAUAACUUAUUUUAACUCCUAUUUGAUUAACUUAACCUAUAAUGAUGAUUUGAAUGAAGAAAAAGAUAUUCAACCUUACAAUGGAAACUGCUCAGAGAAAAUAAUAUGGCCUUUAAUGACAAAAUUCUUUAGAGCAAGGUAGGAAGCGACAUAAAACUUCAUCACAUUCAGUGAUUAAUGAGACCACUAUUUUUACUGGUGCUACACAAUGAAAAUAACCUAUUUGGAUAAAUUCCUUCACUUGUAAGCUCUACUAUGAAAAUGGUAGGACAUUGCGUCUGCCUUUCCUACUACCUAAGACCUUUUCUACCUUGAUUGGAAGAAGCCUCCAAAAUAUGUCUCUCUGAUUGUUGAAUGGCAAAGUUUACUAAAAAUAACAAAAAACAGCUGGAGAACUAGCCACAUGUGAUCUAGAUGACACAAGAAAUGUAACUAGGUAACCAUAAAAAGCCACAAACUUGUGAAAAAAAGUCCUAAAAUAUUUUGCUGAACUAUUAAAAGUUCUUUUUAAUAAAAAAUAAGAUUAAAAAAAAAACUCAUUCUGCAAGAAACAGAAAUAAAAAUUCUUACUGCCCUAAAACAUUUUAAGCAAUUUUUCUUGCAGAUUUUUAAUACAUCACAACACAUAUUUAUAGUCUAGAAAAAAGUCAGUAACAUGCAAAGGAGGGUAGGAAUAAGAUUUUUUAAAACAGUAUUUAUUUCUAUAUGUUUUGGAGAUAUUUACUUUGGGAUUAUCACAUAUGAUCUCUCACAUUUUACAAUUUCAAAUCAGAUCUUACUGAUCUGAAGUUUGAGAAAAUUUAUGGGUCAAAUUGUAAUGUUUACAAAUCUUAAUUUCCCAUCAUGGACAAGUGGACAUUCAUGACAGUUGCAAAAGAGAAAAGAAUAUUAGUGAUACAACAUAAAAAUUUAAAUAUUGUUUAUUGCAGAUCUAAAAGGUUAUAAGUCCCUAUCUCAUUCUGAAAAGUGAUAUACAGCCUGUUAACUUUCAUUACAUAGGCCUGUCAGAAAAGUAAAAAAAUCUGACCCCUAAAAUCACCAAUGUCUCAAUAAACAACACUACACCUCAAAAGAUGAUUGUCUUAGGACAUAGACUGGAGUUAUCCGCCAAAAUAGGAAAAUAUACCCAAUUUUAGUCUGUUCUAUGACUAAAUUCAAGCUUUACAAUAAAUGAAUCUGGAGUGCAGAAUUAAUAAACCUCAAACUACUAAAAAAAACUCUGAAAGUCCUGUUUAAAUUUUUUUUUUUUUUUAAAGCUACUGCUUAGAUUUUUUUUUUUUUAAUGUCUGCACCUGGGGCAUAUGGACAUUCCUGGGCCAGGGACUGAAUCCAAGCCAGAGCUGCAAGCUAUGCCGAAGCUAUGGCAACGCUGGAUUCUUUAACACACUGCGCAGGGCAGGGGACCGAACCUGGGCCUCCACAGUGACCCAAGCUGCUGCAGUCGGAGUCUUAGCCCACUGUGCCACAAUGGGAACUCCUGCUUAGAAUAUUUUGAUAAUUAAUUUUAAAAAUAACUUUUGAAAAACACAAAAGAAAUUAACAAAAAUAUUUUUAAAUGAAGAAAUGGUGCUUCAAUCAAUGAUUAAGUAACAAUGUUAUGCAGAAAUGGAAUUCUUCUUAAAAGUCAAUAUUACAUCAAACUAAUAAGUGAAAAAUAUCAACUUUAGCUUAAGAAAACAUUUCACAUCUGCAGAAUCCCAAAGGAAAUAUUUCUAUGGCAUCAACAAAUUAGUACUUAAUUUCAUAUAUUUAAUUUACCCAAUUAAGGGUAUGUCUCCUUACAUUAUCUUAACACUCUUGCCUUCAAUAGGUGAUUCCAUUCACACGUCGAUUAUUUUUCCUUAAACACAAGGCAUGCUUAGUAAGUCUCUGUGUUCAAAAAUUCACUGAAGCUGGGACAUGGUGUAAUAUUAUGUCUUGAAAUUCUAGUUUGAGGAAGAUGAGUUGCCUCAAAAAAUUUUUGUUUUAAGGUAAAAUGGUCACAGUAUCCAGGAAAGAACUGGAGGUACAGCACGAGCAGGUGUAAAGUAUCAGGGUCUAAGAUUACAGAAUAGGGGGAAAGGGCUUGGUUUUUGAAGCAAUUCUUAUUUAACUACAAAGUGACUGGCUUGACAACUGUUGAAGAGUCAGAGGUCAUAUUCACAACGUCAGUCUCAUCUACUACACUUUUUAUUGCUGCUGCUUUCCUCGAAUCAAUGUCCACAUUAAGCAUGAGUCACUUCCAUGAAGUUGUGUUUGUUUUUUUGGCUGCACACGUAACAUGCAGAAGCUCCCUGGCCAGAGAUUGAACCCAGCCACAGCAGUGACAAUGCCAGAUCCUCCUCAUGAAUUUUAAAUAGCACAACAUCUAUUCUGCUACUCUCCAAUUGCAAUAAAUGAUUUGUUACUAAAACAAUAGAACAUCAGAUCUUAUGGAUGGUUUCACAGAUUUUAUUUCCGAAAUUGUACGUUGCUAAAUUUCAAUAUUCAUUUAAGAAAAAGGCUAUUGUAACUUUAUUUAAAAUUGAACACUGUAAUUGAGAAGUGUUGUGAAUUGUUGGCUGUUAUAUUAAAAAUACAAUGAAGGGGCAAAUGCAACAUUUCGGGGGAUGGUAAGAUUGACUACUGACUUUUUUAGAUAAUAUUGGAGCAGACAGAUUUAAUCUUGUGAAGAAUAACAGGGUAAACAGUUGUUUUGCAGUUAUAUUUCAUCAUGCAAAAAUAACCUCUACUUAAUUUUUGCAGUGAAUGUAUUCAGGUGUAUAUUAAACCUCUCCUAUGCUCUUCCAUGCAAAUAACCACGCCCAGGGAAGACGGGACUAACCGAACUUUGACCUCCGGGACAUUCUAUAGGUUCACAAAUUGGCACUGCACAUACUUACUCUCCUCUUAUCCUCCUCUACCUGUUAUCCUGGGCAGAAGUUUGAAGGCCCCGAUUUUGUAGCACGCCAUGCACCUAAUAUUAAGAAUCCUACUUCAUGUGUGAAUACAUCAAUUUGCAGAACACAGCGGUCUCAUAGAGACAAAGAAAUACAACUGGAGGCAUUUUGUUCACUGGAAGCAUUUUCUCAGAUGAGCGUACUCAUCUUUGAUAUGCAACUCCAAUAAGAAAAAUCUAUAGUUAGAAAUGCCAAGACAAGACUAAAUUAAUCACAGCUGCUGCAAAUAUACAGAUAAUCAACCUUCUGUUCCUCCUUAAAUUCCACCCCACCUAGGUAGAGCCUUCCCCUACCUAAUGCCCCUUUUUUCUGCCUCACAGAGACAGAUAUAAAAUGAGACACACUGGUGAAAAAAAAUUUGUUCCAAAAUUAAAAUUUAGUAUCAGGCAUUGAAAUGGCAACUAGGAAUAUUUCCCUAUUGAAAAAAACAUUUUCCUAUCUAUUUUGAAAUGUGAUCAAAGUAAUGUGUUUCCCACUGUCCUCUGAUUCUCAAUAUAAAUGCAUACUUUACUACUCAGUAAUAAUACCUAACUACAGUCAAGAAAAUAAAAGACUAAUAUAGCUUAAGAACCUGCUGGUGUCUCAGUUUCACAUACUUAGGUAUUUCACUAAUUUCUUAUCAGUUCGGGUGGAAAUUGGCAGAGGAUUUUAAAGCUAAGAAUAUCGAGCUUUCUGUUAAGAUCUUCAUAUCCUAAUUUCAACUCAGCCCAUUUUACCCACACAGAAGCCUCUCAAAACAGAGGCUCAUGAAUGAGAUACAGCCACAACCUAAUUACAGCAGCAUGAACAAUGCCACUCUGAUGUCCUCACAGAACUUAAAUAAAUUCAGCCCACAAUGGGUAUGGGUAUAUAAUAUACACAAACUGUAUCACUGCAUACCAAUAUAUUUACAAAUAUGUACAUAUAUACAAAAAGUAUACAGAGAUUGCAUUUAGCAUCACUAAAAUAUAUACAUGCCAUUGCAAAUAAAAUAAGAAUUUCAAAUAAAUAAGGACAACAAAAGAGCCCUCGAUGUAAAUAUCCUUAUUACUCUCCAAACAUACAGGAAUAUGUACACCCAAAAAUAUCACCAGGAGAUUCAUACCGUUCAUAUUCAUGUCAAAUCUUUUUACUCACUUAGGGUGGGGAGGUGGUUCUGAAUCACAGGCAGUAGCCACAUUUGCAGGCCUUGGUAACUUACUACAUUUCCUGUCCAGAAUGUUCUCUGUGUAUCAUCAGGCUGAUUACAAGUCUCUGUGGAAAACUACAAGAUUUUUCAACUGACUCCAAAACCCUUCUAAGAGACAGAUGGUUGCUAACUCACACAGGUCAGAGAUUAAACUUGGAGAAGAAUGCUAAAGAAAGCUCCAGAAUUGAUAAAUAAAUCAGAAUGCUGCUUUUCCCUUUACCGCAAAGAAAUUCAGUUCAAUAACCACCUACUCUGUUUCAGGGAAUUCUACUGCAAGAAGAAAACAAAGCAAUAUUGCCACAAGUGAGGAAAAAAUAAAACCCAGAUCUUUUACCAGGAAAAUUUAAGUCAUGACUGGAUUGCACUUUGCUUCUACAAUCUCAAAACAUUUCAACUUGGUAAAAAUUUAAAGGGUACAAUAAAUUCUAAAUGUGCUUCGAGAGAUUUUAAGAGCACCACUUUCUAGGAAGAACACACUCAUACACACAUACACACAAAGAAUAUAUCCUGGCUAAAAUUAAAGAUAAAAUGUCUGACUUGUGGAUUUUUUCAUAAUUAAUAAAUAAAAAUUUGCUAGGACUGAUUGAUUUACUGGUUUCAUUAUUUGAUAUAUUUAAAAAAUACCAUAACUUUUGUGCCAAAAUAUAAACAUCUAAUUAUUUCUUUCUUGUUCAUUAUAGAAAGCAAUCUGAGCUACCAGAAAGACUGGGCUGAGAU
rnacentral:lncRNA from 1 species